rnacentral:rRNA from 1 species
GACGAACGCUGGCGGCGUGCUUAACACAUGCAACUCGAACGGAAAGGCCCUGCUUUUGUGGGGUGCUCGAGUGGCGAACGGGUGAGUAACACGUGAGUAACCUGCCCUUGACUUUGGGAUAACUUCAGGAAACUGGGGCUAAUACCGGAUAGGAGCUCCUGCUGCAUGGUGGGGGUUGGAAAGUUUCGGCGGUUGGGGAUGGACUCGCGGCUUAUCAGCUUGUUGGUGGGGUAGUGGCUUACCAAGGCUUUGACGGGUAGCCGGCCUGAGAGGGUGACCGGCCACAUUGGGACUGAGAGACGGCCCAGACUCCUACGGGAGGCAGCAGUGGGGAAUAUUGCACAAUGGGCGGAAACCUGAUGCAGCAACGCCGCGUGCGGGAUGACGGCCUUCGGGUUGUAAACCGCUUUCGCCUGUGACGAAGCGUGAGUGACGGUAAUGGGUAAAGAAGCACCGGCUAACUACGUG